GCAGGGGUGGGGGCUUUCCUCUUUUCAGAACAGUUCAUCUUCAAAGGCACCCUGGCCUCAGAACAGCCUGGGCCAUCCUCUGAGGACGCUGUAGUCACUGCCUGGUAUUUUCUGUCCCCAGAAGCCCCCGUCCGUGACGCUCCAUCUCGACGUCUGUUUCCUGGGAAGUCUAACCAACGGCAGCUGGUGCCAGAAGUGAGCUGAGGGUGCAGCUUCUAAAAUGGGAUUUUGGAGCCGAGUCCCCAUCAGCCAGCUGGUAGUGAAACUCCAUCCCCCAUGCUGCAGAAAGGAGUGACCCAAAGGUGCCCACCGACGCGUGGUGAUGGGUGGAACUGAGCUCAGGACUUUGGGUCGGCACUGGAAGAUGACACUCCUUAGUCACGCUGGAAAUCAAGCAGCACUAAAGAGUCAAGACAGAUGCAAGCCAUGAGUAUGUUAUUUCAGCUGUCAGAAUAAUGAAACCAAAGCCACGAAGUGCUAGUAAUUCAGGAUUACGGGGGACGAAGCGACUUAGCAGGGUGUCUGAAGAGGCAAUGUCGUGGGCUGGGCCCCAUCCAGCUGCAUUUGCAGAGACUUCAGCAUCUCGGAAGGCAGAGUGCCAGGCACGCUCUCGGGGAGUCCACAGCAGAGCUGCCCACGUUCCUCAUUGUUCUUUCCCCUCUCUUCAGGAAACAAGUUAGAUGGCCACGCACAGUGCCCAUGGUGGACUUGGUCUACACUAGAUUUAUGGAGGAGUAAUUUAUGUACAGAAAAAUAUUCCUUUCUGGUGUUCGGUUUGGUGCAAUUUGACACACAUCUGCAGCUGUGUAGCAAUCUCCACAUUACCCUAAAAUUCCCUCUUGGCCCAAGAUAAUCAAUGUCCCCGUCCCUCCCCAGCCUCCGAUAAGCACUGGGCUGUCUUCCGCUCCUGUGGUUUUUGCCCUUACCAGAAUGCCAUGUAAUCAUGUGUCCGGGAGGAAGCUGUGGUCAACGACAACCCUCAUCCAGGACAGUGCCCCCAUCCAUGCCACUGCCUGAUGACAUCCUCGCCGUCUGAGUUGGUGCAGAAGAAACGCUCUGUCGUUUACACAGCACCAGAAUCGGCUAACAAGCACUUCCCGGAAUGAAAGUGGCCCUGUUGUGAGGCAGCCCUGACUGCACAAACGGCUGCUGUGAUUUAGCAGAACAGUUUUGAGGUUCUGUCAUGGUGUUUCUGUACCAUUAGCUUUUUUCUUUCUAAUGGGACAGCAGUUCACUGUGUUGGUACACCAAAGUUUGUUUACCCAUUCAUCAGUGGAAGUUCACUGGGGCCAUUUCUAACUCAGCUUCUGUACCCAACUUCUGUGGCCAUUAGCAUACAGAUGUGGGUUUCCUUUUCUCUAAAUACCUUAGUGUGGGGACACGUGGUCGUGUGGGCGGUGGAGGGUUCUUUUAUAAGAAACCACAGGGCUGUCUUCUACAGUAGCUGCACCACCUGCAUUCCUUCCGGAAUAGCACACUCUUCAGGAGAAUCCCAGCUGAUCCACAUACACACCAGCUCCAAGAGUUGUUUUAAAAAAGUUUUAGCUAUUCUAAUCAGCAUGUGGUUAUGUCUCCUGUGGUUUAAUUUGCAUGUCUGUAAUGACAUCAAGCAUAAUUAUAUGUAUAUAUUUGCAAAAUAUGUCUCCUCUUUUGAGCAUCUGUGCACAUAGUAUUUUUGGUCAUUUUAAAAUGGGUUUGUUUCUUUUCUCACUGAGUUUGGGGGGCUUUUUACAGAUUUUGUGGAUCCUUUAUCAAAGGGCUACCAAAGGGGAAAUAUUUUCUCCUGAUCUGUGCCUUGCUGAAUAUAGUCUCACAAUUACUUUAAUUACAUAUUUUACAACCAGCAUUCUCCGCUUAUUACUUGAAAGGUUUGGGAGAACCUACAGUGAAUAAUCAGCCUCCUUCCCAGGAGUGCUGGCAACUCAGUUCCCCUUCCUGGAAGCAGUCACCAUUGCCAAGUGUUUAGGAGGGAGAGGGGGCGAGGACAUGCUCCAGGAAACACUACAUGCAAUACUAAAGUGUGUGUGUGUGUGUGUGUGUGUGUGUCCAUUCCUGCUUUGCCUCAGUACCUGACAGUCUGUCACACACUCCGUCAUGCACGUUGCUCUUUUCAUGGGACAGACGCGUGGCAGCGUUGUCACAUGCUUGCACGAGGAGCCACCUCGUCUUGUUGAUGGCUGCAUGGUAUUCU